rnacentral:misc_RNA from 1 species
AACCUUAUGGACCUGCGGGCGUAUACCUGCGGAAGGAUCAUUAUCAAAACAGCGGCCUUCGGGCCUUGCUGCACCCUUGUCUUUUGCGCACCGUAUUGUUUCCUCGGCGGGCUUGCCUGCCGGUUGGACAUUAUCAAACCUUUUUGUAGUUGCAAUCAGCGUCAGAAAAACAAUAAUUAUUACAACUUUUAACAACGGAUCU